UACGUAGGGGGCGAGCGUUGUCCGGAUUUAUUGGGCGUAAAGAGCUCGUAGGCGGUUCGAUAAGUCGGACGUGAAAUCUCCACGCUCAACGUGGAGGGGCCGUUCGAUACUGUCGUGACUCGAGUCCGGUAGGGGAGUGUGGAAUUCCCGGUGUAGCGGUGAAAUGCGCAGAGAUCGGGAGGAACACCCGUAGCGAAGGCGGCACUCUGGGCCGGUACUGACGCUGAAGCGCGACAGCGUGGGGAGCAAACAGG
rnacentral:rRNA from 1 species